rnacentral:rRNA from 1 species
GAUGAACGCUAGCGGCAGGCCUAACACAUGCAAGUCGAGGGGCAGCACAGGUAGCAAUACUGGGUGGCGACCGGCGGAUGGGUGCGUAACGCGUAUGCAACCUACCAUUGAUUGGGGCAUAGCCCGAAGAAAUUCGGAUUAAUACUCCAUAAUAUUCAUCAAAGGCAUCUUUUAUGAAUUAAAGCUUUUGCGAUCAAUGAUGGGCAUGCGUGACAUUAGUUAGUUGGUGAGGUAACGGCUCACCAAAACGAUGAUGUCUAGGGGUUCUGAGAGGAUUAUCCCCCACACUGGUACUGAGACACGGACCAGACUCCUGCGGGAGGCAGCAGUGAGGAAUAUUGGUCAAUGGACGCAAGUCUGAACCAGCCAUGCCGCGUGCAGGAUGACGGCCUUAUGGGUUGUAAACUGCUUUUCCACGGGAAGAACCCUCCGACGUGUCGGAGACUGACGGUACCGUGGGAAUAAGCAUCGGCUAACU